rnacentral:lncRNA from 1 species
UUCUACAAUACUUACAAACAGCCCUUUUGGUUCCAUUAACUUCUUCGUAAGUGAAAUGACGCCACAUUGGAGAUGUGAAUUUAAUUUGUUUCUCGUUACAGUUAACUGUAGAAUUGUCAGUAUCAUUAACCGUGUUUGAAUCAUUGGGUUGAUUCGGUUCUGCUGAAGACAUGAUUACAAAAAUCUGAAAAUAAUUUACACAAACAGUCAAAACAAGGUUCAUAAACAGAAACACAAACAGAAGGAAAUAUGUUUCAAACAUGUUAUGUAGAGCAUGCAAAUCUCAUCAUAAUAACAGGGGCAAUUUCAUAUAUUUCUCGUAUACAAUCAUACUGGAUACAAUCAUACAGGAUACAAUCAUACAGGUUUGAAAUUGGUUGCAGAAGAGUAAACAUUACCACUGGUCCGCUGCCUGCCUCGUUCGUUGCCUAAGAGUCGGGAAGAAAUUGGUGCGACGCUGGGUCGCUGCCUCGUCUUCAGUCUCCCGAUUUCAAUUCCUCACUCGUCGGUUGGAACUUGGAUUGUUGCUCUCGGUCGGAAUUUGGAUUAUCUCUCAAGUCACGGUCGGAAGUCGGAACUCGGUCAGAUGGUCACAGCUUCAAGCCUUCAGUCGGUCACAGCUUCAAUGCUUCACUCUUCACAGGCCACAGCGUCGCACACAGAAAUCAUCUAAUCGAGUUCGAACACAGAAAAGUUGAAGGGGUCUGCGGCUCUACCUCAAUUCUUGUGUGUAUUGACGGAAUUUGGAAGCGACUACCGACGGAAAUUGGAACUUGGAAGUUCGAAUU